rnacentral:rRNA from 1 species
CCCUUAGAUGUCCUGGGCCGCACGCGCGUUACACUGAUGCAUUCAACGAGCUUAUAACCUUGGCCGAGAGGCCUGGGCAAUCUUGUUAACGUGCAUCGUGAUAGGGAUAGAUUAUUGAAAUUAUUAAUCUUGAACGAGGAAUUCCUAGUAAACGCAGAUCAUCAAUCUGCAUUGAUUACGUCCCUGCCCUUUGUACACACCGCCCGUCGCACCUACUGAUUGGAUGGUCCGGUGAAGCCUCGGGAUUGUGGUUCUUGCCGCUUUAUUGUAGCGUGACCGCGAGAACUUGUCUAAACCUUAUCAUCUAGAGGAAGGUGAAGUCGUAACA